GUCUCUGUCGGUUAGCGCGGUCGGCUGUUAACCGAAAGGUUGGUGGUUCGAGCCCACCCAGAGACG